UGCGUCGGAGCUGCAGUAUCAAUUGCUCCAUCACUAAUGAUAUACGGUUUUCUGAGCGCACACAACCGAAGCACACGGAUAGACAGCGGCCACCAAACAGCAUCUCAACUGCAGGCGGACGCAUCCCUCCUCUCUCCGGUACAACCGACGGUUCGGCGAGGAGAGCAGCACGACUGGACCUGCAGAUAGUCAUUCCAGGGUCUUAGGCUGGACUGUAUCUACCGACACUGAG